rnacentral:rRNA from 1 species
UACGUAGGGGUGCAACGUUUGCCGGAAUUAUUGGGCGUAAAGAGCUCGUAGGCGGUUUGUCGCGUCUGCUGUGAAAACCCGAGGCUCAACCUCGGGCCUGCAGUGGGUACGGGCAGACUAGAGGUGCGGUAGGGGAGAUUGGAAUUCCUGGUGUAGCGGUGGAAUGCGCAGAUAUCAGGAGGAACACCUAUGCGAAGGCAGCUCGCUGGGACGUUACUGACGCUGAGACGCGAAAGCGUGGGAGCAAACAGG